CCUACGGGAGGCAGCAGUAGGGAAUCUUUCACAAUGGGCGAAAGCCUGAUGGAGCAACGCCGCGUGCAGGAUGAAGGCCUUCGGGUUGUAAACUUCUUUUAAGAGGGAAGAGCAGAAGACGGUACCUCUUGAAUAAGCCACGGCUAACUACGUGCCAGCAGCCGCGGUAAUACGUAGGUGGCAAGCGUUGUCCGGAUUUACUGGGUGUAAAGGGCGUGUAGCCGGGCUGACAAGUCAGAUGUGAAAUUCCGGGGCUCAACCCCGGACCUGCAUUUGAAACUGUUGGUCUUGAGUAUCGGAGAGGCAGGCGGAAUUCCUAGUGUAGCGGUGAAAUGCGUAGAUAUUAGGAGGAACACCAGUGGCGAAGGCGGCCUGCUGGACGACAACUGACGGUGAGGCGCGAAAGCGUGGGGAGCAAACAGGAUUAGAUACCCCUGUAGUC
rnacentral:rRNA from 1 species